rnacentral:rRNA from 1 species
AAUCCUAGAGAUAGGACGUCCCCUUCGGGGGCAGAGUGACAGGUGGUGCAUGGUUGUCGUCAGCUCGUGUCGUGAGAUGUUGGGUUAAGUCCCGCAACGAGCGCAACCCUUGAUCUUAGUUGCCAGCAUUCAGUUGGGCACUCUAAGGUGACUGCCGGUGACAAACCGGAGGAAGGUGGGGAUGACGUCAAAUCAUCAUGCCCCUUAUGACCUGGGCUACACACGUGCUACAAUGGACAGAACAAAGGGCAGCGAAACCGCGAGGUUAAGCCAAUCCCACAAAUCUGUUCUCAGUUCGGAUCGCAGUCUGCAACUCGACUGCGUGAAGCUGGAAUCGCUAGUAAUCGCGGAUCAGCAUGCCGCGGUGAAUACGUUCCCGGGCCUUGUACACACCGCCCGUCACACCACGAGAGUUUGUAACACCCGAAGUCGGUGAGGUAACCUUUUAGGAGCCAGCCGCCGAAGGUGGGACAGAUGAUGGGGGUGAAGUCGUAACAAGG